rnacentral:misc_RNA from 1 species
GGUUAAACAUAAACAUCAUAAUGUAGACGUAAACCAAUUUAACAAAGACAUGUAUUAUAAACGAGAAUUCAAUUAAACAAAUAGUAAAUUAGAAACGGGGUAAUAAGAAUAUUCCUGUAAAGAAUUCCAAUAUUGGGUUUUCCAUAACAGCAUUCAUUCAAUAAAAAUAUCCAAUCGCUCAAGACAGCAAUCAAUCAAAAUUUUCAAACAACGAACACAUCAAUCAAUCAAGAAAUAUAAAACAAACAUAUAUGGAGAUUACGAGGAGAAC